UGGGGAAUCUUGGACAAUGGGCGCAAGCCUGAUCCAGCCAUGCCGCGUGGAUGAUGAAGGCCCUAGGGUUGUAAAAUCCUUUCGUUGGGGACGAUAAUGACGGUACCCAAAGAAGAAGCUCCGGCUAACUUCGUGCCAGCAGCCGCGGUAAUACGAAGGGGGCUAGCGUUGUUCGGAUUUACUGGGCGUAAAGCGCGUGUAGGCGGGUCGUUAAGUUGGGGGUGAAAUCCCGGAGCUCAACUCCGGAACUGCCUCCAAAACUGGCGACCUGGAGCAAGAUAGAGGCGAGUGGAAUUCCGAGUGUAGAGGUGAAAUUCGUAGAUAUUCGGAGGAACACCAGUGGCGAAGGCGACUCGCUGGAUCUUUGCUGACGCUGAGACGCGAAAGCGUGGGGAGCAAACAGGAUUAGAUACCCUGGUAGUCCACGCUGUAAACGAUGAGAGCUAGUUGUCGGCACGCAUGCGUGUCGGUGACGCAGCUAACGCAUU
rnacentral:rRNA from 1 species